rnacentral:lncRNA from 1 species
AUUCAAUAACAAAUGUCCACAAGGAAUAAAUACAAAGACUUCCAAAUUAAGGUUUCAAUCAAAUGAAGAGAGGAAAGAAAUGGGAUUAGAUUAUAGAUGAUAGCCCUUUAAAAGAUUUGUCUUAAGUUAGAGUCACACAACUAGGAGAGUAGAAGAGAAGAUCUCAUUUGCCAACAAAAUGUAAGAAUAAAGUGCUUCAUAAAGAAUUGCACAUAGGUACUGGAGUUGUGGCUCAGUGGUAGAGCCCUUGCCUGGCAUGUGUGAGGCACUGGGUUCGAUCCUUAGCACCUCAGCACUUAAAACAUAAGUGAGAUCAUGCAGUAUUUUUCUUUCUGUCUGGCUUAUUUCACUUGGCCUCCAGCUUCCUUCAUUUUUAUUCCCAAACAAUAUUCCUUUGGGUAGAUUUGGAAACACACACAUAAAAACCACAUUUACUUUAUCCAUUUAUCCAUUGAUAGAUUGUUUUCACAUCUUGAUUAUUGAGAAUAAUGUUGUAGUGAACAUGGGGAAGCAGGUAUCUCUUCAAGAUACUGAUUUCAUUGCCUUUGGGUAUAUAACAGAAGUGAGAUUUCUGGACAAAGUGGUAAUUCUGUUUUUAGGGCUUUUUUUUUUUAAGGAAACUAUGGGUUUUACAUAGUGGCUAUGCCAAUUUAUAUUCCCUCAACAGUGCAUAGGAUCCCUUUUCUCCAUAUCCUCUUCAGCACUUGUUAUCCUUUGCAUUUUUUCUAAUCAUCAUCCUAAUAGACAUGAAGGGAUAGCUCAUUGUAAUUUUGACACAUAUUUUCUUAAUGACUAAGAAUGGUUCACACCUUUUCAUAUACCUCAGCACCAUUUUUAUGUCUUCUUUGGAGAAAUAUUAUUUGAGGUUUUUGCCCAUUUUUUAACUAGAUGUCUGUGUGUGUGUGUGUGUGUGUUGCUAUGUAGUUUUAAGUGUUCCUUGUGUAUUUUGGAUAUUAGCUGCU